rnacentral:miRNA from 1 species
UGAUUGUCCAAACGCAAUUAG